AUUUUUUUUUAUUAGCAAAGAAUGAAAUUAAAUUAAGAGGGAUACAAAAGGGGUAUCCCAACCCUUUUACAUAAACCAAACCACAUUAAGAAUCUCCAAGAAUAAAGAGAUGAACAAACACCCCAGAAGCAAUAGAUAGAUAAUGUUUGUUGCAUAAGGUAGACAUCCUAUUCCAGCUAGCACCGUGCUUGUAUUGGAAUGCUAUAAGCACUGCAAACUGCAGCUACAAAACCAUCAAAAUACACCAAAAUAUUGGUUAUCUCCACCACCUCAUUGACAUUCCUUCUACCCAGCUUGCAGUGGCACGAUUGUAGCACUUGUCACAGAAUUAAUCACUUCAAUGCAACAUCUUCCAUUCGCUCCUUUUUGGACUUUGGUUUCCCCCUGUUUGCUCCUUUUAAGCUCACUUUUAUCAGAAAUCAACUUCCUACUUGCCAUGGUCCAUCUCGCACU
rnacentral:lncRNA from 1 species